UGGAGGUUAAGGAGUGGAGCUUCAGGUCAGGUCAGUUUAGUUCUGGGUAACUAGCCCAGGACAAGGUAGUCUCAGGCUAGCAUUUGGAGGUGGAGGGCUGCUCUGGUUCUGGGUUUUAGGGUGUAAAUAAAGUUCCUUUGUAAAUAAAACCCCUUCCAACCUUCAGUUGUGCCUCUGGAUUAUUCUCGCUCCCAGAACACAAUAUAUUCCAUACAAAUGUCC